AGUGGCAGACGGGUGAGUAAUGUAUAGGAAUCUACCUAGUAGUACGGAAUAAUUGUUGGAAACGGCAACUAAUACCGUAUACGCCCUACGGGGGAAAAAUUUAUUGCUAUUAGAUGAGCCUAUAUUAGAUUAGUUAGUUGGUGAGGUAAAGGCUUACCAAGACAAUGAUCUAUAGCUGAUCUGAGAGGAUGAUCAGCCACACUGGAACUGAGAUACGGUCCAGACUCCUACGGGAGGCAGCAGUGGGGAAUAUUGGACAAUGGGCGAAAGCCUGAUCCAGCCAUGCCGCAUGAGUGAAGAAGGCCUUCGGGUUGUAAAGCUCUUUUAGUGAGGAAGAUAAUGACGGUACUCACAGAAGAAGUCCUGGCUAACUCCGUGCCAGCAGCCGCGGUAAUACGGAGAGGGCUAGCGUUAUUCGGAAUCAUUGGGCGUAAAGGGCGCGUAGGCGGGUUAGUAAGUUAAAAGUGAAAUCCCAAGGCUCAACCUUGGAACUGCUUUUAAAACUGCUAGUCUAGAGAUUGAAAGAGGAUAGAGGAAUUCCUAGUGUAGAGAUGAAAUUCGUAAAUAUUANGAGGAACACCAGUGGCGAA
rnacentral:rRNA from 2 species